GGGGCGGUAGCUCAGCUGGUUAGAGCAGCGGACUCAUAAUCCGUCGGUCCUGGGUUCAAGCCCCAGCCGCCCCA
rnacentral:tRNA from 2 species